GAUGAACGCUGGCGGCGUGCCUAAUACAUGCAAGUCGAGCGAACGGACGAGAAGCUUGCUUUUCUGAUGUUAGCGGCGGACGGGUGAGUAACACGUGGAUAACCUACCUAUAAGACUGGGAUAACUUCGGGAAACCGGAGCUACUACCGGAUGAUAUUUUGAACCGCAUGGUUCAAAAGUGAAAGACGGUCUUGCUGUCACUUAGAGAUGGAUCCGCGCUGCAUUAGCUAGUUGGUAAGGUAACGGCUUACCAAGGCAACGACGCAUAGCCGACCUGAGAGGAGGGUGGGCGGCACUGGAGCGGCGACACCGCCCAGAAGCCUACGAGAGGAGGCAGUAGGGAAGAUUAUGGAACGGGGGGAGGCAUGACGAAGCAGCGCCGCGGGAGUGGUGAAGGUGUUCGUAGCGUAGAGCUCUGUUAUUGGGAGAGAACAUAGGUGUAAGUGUCUGUGCGCAUCUUGACGGUACCUGAUCAAGAAGCCCCGGCUAACUACGUG
rnacentral:rRNA from 1 species